rnacentral:rRNA from 1 species
AAUAGUUUAUUUGGUGGUCAAUCAUUACAUGGAUAACCGUGGUAAUUCUAGAGCUAAUACAUGCGCUCAAACCCGACUCCGUGGAAGGGUGGUGUUUAUUAGAUACAGAACUAACCCAGGCUUUGCCUGGCCUUGUGGUGAUUCAUAAUAACCGAACGGAUCGCAUGGCAUCAGCUGGCGAUGAAUCUUUCAAGUUUCUGACCUAUCAGCUUCCGACGGUAGGGUAUUGGCCUACCGUGGCAAUGACGGGUAACGGAGAAUUAGGGUUCGAUUCCGGAGAGGGAGCCUGAGAAACGGCUACCACA